rnacentral:rRNA from 1 species
UCCGUAGGUGAACCUGCGGAAGGAUCAUUAGUGAAACACAAGAGUGCUCUUCAUUGAGGCUCGUUUUAACUAUCCAUUACACUUAGUGCACUUGAAAUCUUAUAUUCUUCAAAUACCUUCACGGGUUGUCGAAGUCUAUAACACACAUACAUAACCCCUUUGAAUAUUUAAUAAGAGAUGAGGAUGUAAAUAACCAAUGAAAUUUGAAAGAACAACUUUCAGCAACGGAUUUCUUGGCUCUCGCAUCGAUGAAGAACGCAGCGAAAUGCGAUACGUAAUGUGAAUUGCAGAACUCAGUGAAUCAUCGAAUUUUUGAACGCACCUUGCGCUCUCUAGUUAUUCUGGAGAGCAUGCUUGUUUGAGUAUCGCGAACCUCUCAACCCCGCCAAAGGCUUUAUUGACUUUGGUUGUUUGGGCUUGGAUCAUAGUUGUUGUUGGCCUUUGGGUCUAACUCGACUGAAAUACAACAAGUUGAAUAGAAUUUAUUGCGGCUUGACCUGAUGUUGUAAACUACUCAUCGGGGACGCUUUAAAAAGUCUAAGGAACUUUAACAGAAACCCUUUUGCUCUAGUCGAGGAUCACUCUUUCGGGAGCCCUUACACUUUAGUACAUUUAUGACCUCAAAUCAAGUAGGACUACCCGCUGAACUUAAGCAUAUCAAUAAGCGGAGGA